UCAAUUUCAGGAUGUGAAACUUCCGCUCUGGCAUUGCCUAGACUGAAAUGCACUGAUGGACGGUCAACUAUUUGUUGUGUUGUUUUGAUGCUGAAACACAGAAACCUUCGUAAGCAUGUUUUUAGGACAAGGAUGCGGUGUUUCCUGCCUCGCAACACGUGAGCCGCUGCAGAAGCUCGAGGAACACGUGUGCGCAGCAGCGGGUUUCCGUCCUUUGCAAACCAUGGUGAGUUGAUGAGCUGGGUCUCAAAGCUACAGCCCACUGGUGAACUUGCUCCAGACCUGGUGAGCAUUUGCAGAGAUUCCCAGAGCUUAGGUGAUACAGGCAUGAUGCCAACAGAGGGAGAUCAUGCACCAGAGUAGCACUGAAGAUUUCUGGAGUGCUCAACUGACGUGGUGUUGUACAAUCCGAACCCCACCGGGACCUUAGCAGGCGCAUGAUGUGGUUGGUGACUGUCCUCUCCAUGUUGUGUGCUUGACAGGCACUUGUUGGGAGAGAGGUUUGUGUAACAAAUGCGUGGUUAUUUCCUUGAAGGACCUUCCUUAAUGCAUUUUUGCCUCCUCAUCACACCUGCCAUAUCUCUGGUUAGAGUCAAGUGUUGGUAGCAUGGGACUAGAGGGGACAUUCUGGUACUUGGUUGUAUUUUGCACUGCUUUUCAGUGAUACUAAGGGUCCAGUUCUGCUCUAUUUUUUAUUAACCACACUUUUAAUUUCAGCAGUGGAUGAUCCCAUUUCCUCAAGAAGAGAUGAGCCAUUUGAAACAGGGAUAUUUCAUUUUCUUAUUAAAGUCAUUUUCUGUGAAAGUGAAUUGAUUGUCUAUUCUAUUUAUGCAUUGUGAUUUUUUUUUUAAUAUACUGGUAUUUUCACUGGCAUUUUGUCUGAUGUAACCCUACUUGUAUGAGAUUUGCUCCUAUAGGAGAUAGCUCCAAUCUUUGCCUUUCUUCUUUUGGAAGGAAUCCUAUUCCAACCUGUAAAGAAAACUGAAUCUUUUCCCUAAAACAAUGAGUGCCUUUUGAGCUAUCCUAAUAUAACAUGCAUUGUCUUAACUGGUUUUUAGUUCUACUGCGAGGCACCACAGAAAACCUAUGUCUCAGUAAAGACAGCACUUUUGUUCUGUACUGGGAUUGAUCUUGGUGAAUUUGUGGCAAACCUAGAGGCCCUGAGAGACCGAUGCUAUGAUAAAGAAGGCACUAUAUCUUCACUGAGAGUGGAUUCUCUGGGAAAACAGAGCUGAUAUAUUUCUUUGCUUGGAGAUGCAACACUGUAAUUUUACAUUCUUUCUAUACUCUUAACAAAUGUGGUUCAUGCUGACAGCACUUAUUUGUCAUUUCAUGUGCAGUAUUGUGUUUUAGUUGAACUGUA
rnacentral:lncRNA from 1 species